rnacentral:lncRNA from 1 species
GUAACGCCCCGACUUUUAGAAUUGAUCGUUUAUUUAGGAUUUAGUUAAUUUCUAAUUUUUAUUUAUUUAAGACUUGAUUGUUUUGAUUUGAUUGUGCGACAUUUAAUUGUUUUGGUGUGUUUAAUGAUUAAUUAAAUAGGAAGAGAAAAAUAGAAAAUAAAAAUGAGAGGCAAUACUUUGGUUUAGAAAAUAGAGUUUUAGCUAAAAUAAGAAAUUUUAGUUAAAAAUAGAGAUUUUAGUAAAUAAAGGAAAAAGAGGGGAGUGUGGAUAGAAAAUCUGUUUAUGACUUUAGAGCAAGAGGCACAUAUUAUUAACCUAGCAUUUUUAACCUAGCAUUUUUAACCUAUUCAGAGCCAGCCACAAUAGCACCGUCUUUGGAACCAUUGAACAAUAACCACACGGUAUCACGAGAGAGAAGAGUAUGCGGUGGCGCUCAGAAAGAAAGAAGGAAAUCAGUUCGGUCUUCAGUUUUAUGCGUGCAGACUCGAACUAGGGAGCGUAACCGUCGAAUUAGCUUAGAGUCGUAUGCUAGGAAGGAAAGCUCCCAAGGUAAGGGGGUUUAAUUCUUUCUUUAAAUUUAUGUCAUUUUCUUGAAAUUACAUGGGUUGAUUCUUCCUUCUUCUUGCUUGAUGUGUGCUUGUUAUGGUGGUUGUGUUGUUGUGAUUUUAUUCCUUGAAUUAAUGGCGUUGUGUUGUUUGCGAUGUUGAUUGUCUCGUGUAUGCUAUUAAAUCAUAGAUUAACCUCUAAGUUCAUAAAAAGGACGGGGUUUAAGGGUUUUGGAAAGAAAUCAAAUUUAUUAAGAAAAUUUGAAUUUUUGGGUUUAAACAAGUACUUGAAGUAUUGGUGUAUUGGUUCCUGGACUGGAAAUUGUUGUUUGCUAUUGGUUUAGCCUCUAUGCCUGUAACCUGCGUUUUUGGUUAUUUAGUGUAGGGGUCCUGUUGUUGUAAUUGAGUUGCAAUAUGGUCUUUUUGUACAUAAGGUCAUGUGGAUUCUUGUUGUAUUUGUGGUGAUCCUCUAUGAUAUAAAACUGGAAAUUUGUGGUGAUCCUCUAUGAUAUAAAACUGGAAAUUGGUGGUGAUCCUCCAUGAUAUAAAACUGGAAAUUUGUGGUGAUCCUCCAUGAUAUAAAACUGGAAUUGGUGUUGAUCCUCUAUGAUAUAAAACUGGAAUUGAUAUUGAUAUUGUUGAGUUAUUGUUUUUUUUUAUAAUCGUGCUCGUUGUGUGUUUGAUCGUACAAAGAUGAUUUAUGUUUUGACUAUUUUCUUGUGUCAUUUUAAGUUCAGUAUUCUUUGUGAUUGUGUUACUGACCCCUUGUUGCUUUCAUUUUUCUUUUUUGGCUUGGCCCUACGGCGUGCAACCGUAGAUUUUCAGGUAGGCGAUGAAUCAUAGUUGCCGAGUUCGGGGAGUUUGUCCCUUGCUGUUUCAGUAAUUGAGUCGCUCUGAUAGGAUGUCUUGGGGGAUUCACGUAUAUAUUCCAUUAGUAUUUCUUCGAAAAGACUUGAACAGUGUCAAUUGGUUUUUGGAAUGAUUCUAUUGCUCUCAAUAAUUUUUUUUUUUAAUUCAAAUUUUAGAACUUAUGUUUAUUGGUUUUAAUUUUAUUUAUGCUGCUUAAUCCUUAUUUAAUUAAGUAUUCGAUUCAAAAGUAGGUGUGACACCUUUAAUGAAAUAAACUAAAUUGAAUUCUUCGCAAAUAAAAUCAAGGGAAAAUUAAAGGGUGUUACAAUA